ensembl:lncRNA
CCCGACCCGGCCCGGCGACCGGCCCCGCUCUACGGCGGGCAGCCCGAUAGGCACAGGGAGCGAGGACCGGGAGCUGGAUGGCGGUGUGGAGGCCUGAGGCGAAGGCUAAGCCUGCCCCUCCCCGGGCCGCCUUCAGCGAGCUUCGGCGCGGGUCUCCGCGUUGAGAGAAGUGAUGAGUCAGGUUUGCUCGGCUCCAUGCUAAUGCACGGAGAUGGAGGGUGUAAUUAGUAGAGAGGCAGGGCUGUGAUCUGCAGCGCGGGGCGGCCGGGCCACGCACCUCCUCUGUGCUUCAGAGCGUCGCUGAAGUUCUCCUUGUUUCGUGCUCCUCCAGCCCCAACGGUGUAUAUGCAGGGUUUGGUGGGAGCAGAGCCACAGACGUCGGAAGGUGUCUGUGUGUGAAACACCCCGCGUUAUGUAAUUCUGAUGUUGAAAGAUGACGAUGUGAAUCCUGUGAACAAAUGCUGGUGAGUCCAGGAUUUGAGGUCUGCACAACAGCUGCUGACUCAUCAGGAUUUUGUCACUUCCCUGAAGAUGUUGCUGAGUGUUGGCUUCGGAUCUCAGGUGUCCCUCAUUAAGAACUGCCUAUUUUGCCUCAAACCCUCUUGUGGCAGCCAGGCUGCUGAGGAGCCAAGAGUUCAAAAGCUGAAGGGCUAAAAAGAGGGCAAGCAAGAGGGAGCUUUGGUUCAGUUGUGUGCCUGGCCAGCCUUUUUUUUUUUUUUUUUUUUUUUGCACAGAUGUCUUUGUCUUGCUGGAAAAAAAGUUCUCAAGCAGCAGAACUUGUCUGUUCAUAUUUUGCAAAUGAAACACAUGGUACGGCAUGAUGCCAUGUUAAAGAUGGAGCUGAUCAGUGAAAUUAGCUUCCGUUACUCACUGGCAAUGGUAUGGCUUUCAUUAUUUUCACAACAAAUACAAAACUCAGCAGCCUUUAGGAUAUGGCACAUAAUUAAUGUCCAUUUCCCAUUGAAGCCCCCCAAGAUAUGACUCUAAGUACAUUGGAAGAUGAGGCUGAAUUGUAACACAGUUUUAUUCUUUGUUUCUGGACAAAGAAGGCUGAAGUGAUGAAACAUUUGCAUCUGUUUUAAACUUGGCUUAUUUCAUUUUUAAUUUUUUUUUUUUUUAAUCCCACUGCAUUAUUUUUCUGACGGCUACACCCUGAAAAAACAGGUUGUCAGUGCAAGCAGGGUUUUCUCAGAAGGUACCCACAAGAAGCAAUUAGACGUGUGAGCAAAGGCAGUCAGCACAUGGGAUCCUCCCCAGCGAAACAGGCUCAGCGCUGAAGGCUCGUCUGCAUGGCAUGUUUCUUCUUUCAUCGAACACCAGCAAAAUGCCAGGAACAUUCCUGGACAGGAGAAAUCUUGAAUUCUGCAAUUCAGCCUUAAAGAAACACUCCUCUGGGGAACUGCCCAACUGCCUGAUGGAAAUGAGUGACUCCUGUAUGCAGAUCUGCCUUCGAAGACUCUGACCUAUUUCAGCCCAGCUUUGCAGAACACACAAGCUCUAUUUAUGAUGCUGCAGGAAGGGAAAGGCAGGGUGCAAGCAAUGCACCUUGCUCUGCUGGGAAAGAGCUGGCAGCCCCAGCUCCAGCAGUGAAGCCCCGCAUCAGGAGAUGGUGGGACCUGGCUCCUGUUGGGGCAAUGAGUAACAUCAUCACAUCUGACUGAACCUCUGGCAUGUAGACUUGACUACUUACUCUUGCUGCAGAAGCAUUUAUAUUGACACAGAUUCAGGAAGAUGCUGCACAGCAGAAUCAGGGAAACAACUGUUUUAUAAGCAGAGUGAUGCCUUCAUACAGCACAGCAGUGUGAUCUGCGAUGGAAAACAUAACAGGACUGUAUUCCACAGCAAGGUCAUGUUUUGAGAAUUUUAUUCGUCCUCAUUUCUAUUAAAGUGUCUUUUUACAGGGAGAAAUAACUUCUUUUAGUUAUGCUGUAUUGCUCUUGAAACUUAACCUUCCUCUAGCUGGGCUCUAUAAAUCACGGAUUUUCUUAUAAACAGAUUACAGAUCCACUUACAUCUUUGUAUUAUUUGGCUCCUUCAUUUCAGAAACAGUAUGGGCCAUAUUCUUCCCUGGCAUAGCUCCAUUCCCAGUAUUCUUAUUUUGAGGAUGCUGGGCCAGAUUCCUGAUCUCUCUGCUUUGUCAAUGGGCGCUCAGAGCCAUGCUGCUGCGAUCACUGCUGUCACAUAUCAGUAACACCACUCUGCUGCUGAGCAGAACAUAGCCCUCUGCUUAAACAGCACUUUGAUCAAGUGAAAUAAGGAAAAUAUUGCUGAAUGUAGCCUUCAGCAUAUUACUUGUUCUGCUGAAAGAUCAUCCGCUCUUGGCUUAGCUUAUUUCAAGCAUGAC